AGCAGCGUGGCUCAGUGGAAAGAGCCUGGGCUUCGGUGUCAGAGGUCGUGGGUUCGAAUCCCACCCUGCCA
rnacentral:tRNA from 1 species